AAACUUUCGACAACGGAUCUCUUGGUUCUCCCAUCGAUGAAGAACGCAGCGAAAUGCGAUAAGUAAUGUGAAUUGCAGAAUUCAGUGAAUCAUCGAAUCUUUGAACGCACCUUGCGCUCUUGGGUAUUCCCAAGAGCAUGCCUGUUGGAGUGUCAUGA
rnacentral:rRNA from 1 species